rnacentral:rRNA from 1 species
UACGUAGGGUGCAAGCGUUGUCCGGAAUUAUUGGGCGUAAAGAGCUCGUAGGCGGUUCGUCGCGUCGGCUGUGAAAUCCCGGAGCUCAACUCCGGGUCUGCAGUCGAUACGGGCGGACUGGAGUUCGGCAGGGGAGACUGGAAUUCCUGGUGUAGCGAUGAAAUGCGCAGAUAUCAGGAGGAACACCGGCGGCGAAGGCGGAUCUCUGGGCCAUUACUGACGCUGAGGAGCGAAAGCGUGGGGAGCGAACAGG